rnacentral:rRNA from 1 species
AGUGAACGCUGGCGGUAGGCCUAACACAUGCAAGUCGAACGGCGGCACAGUAAGAGCUUGCUCUUACGGGUGGCGAGUGGCGGACGGGUGAGGAAUACAUCGGAAUCUACUUUUUCGUGGGGGAUAACGUAGGGAAACUUACGCUAAUACCGCAUACGACCUACGGGUGAAAGCAGGGGAUCUUCGGACCUUGCGCGAUUGAAUGAGCCGAUGUCGGAUUAGCUAGUUGGCGGGGUAAAGGCCCACCAAGGCGACGAUCCGUAGCUGGUCUGAGAGGAUGAUCAGCCACACUGGAACUGAGACACGGUCCAGACUCCUACGGGAGGCAGCAGUGGGGAAUAUUGGACAAUGGGCGCAAGCCUGAUCCAGCCAUACCGCGUGGGUGAAGAAGGCCUUCGGGCUGUAAAGCCCUUUUGUUGGGAAAGAAAAGCAGCAGGUUAAUACCCCGCUGUUCCGACGGUACCCAAAGAAUAAGCACCGGCUAACUUCGUG